UAGCACUGCUCAGGGUGAACU
rnacentral:miRNA from 1 species